rnacentral:rRNA from 1 species
GACGAACGCUGGCGGCGUGCUUAACACAUGCAAGUCGAACGAAGUGGCGAACGGGUGAGUAACGCGUAAUCAACCUGCCCUUCAGAGGGGGACAACAGGAGGAAACGACUGCUAACACCGCAUACUGAAGGAGGGGAUUGCGUCUGAUUGGCUAGUUGGAGGGGUAACGGCCCCACAGGGCGAGGGUCAGUAGGCGGUCUGAGAGGAUGAACUGCCACAUUUGGACUGAGACACGGGCCAGACUCCUACGGGAGGGAGCAGUGGGGAAUCUUUCGCAAUGGACGAAAGUCUGACGGAGCACCGCCGCGUGAGUGAUGAAGGCCUUCGGGUUGUAAAGCUCUGUUAAUCGGGGCGCGGUACCGGAAUAGAAAGCCACGGCUAACUACGUGCCAGCAGCCGCGGUAAUUC